CUUUGUUUUUGACUGCCAGAGUUGUUCACAUGGAACCCUUCUCCACUUCAGCUUUCAAGGUUCUCGCUUGAAUAUUUGCUACUACCACCAAGAUCUGCACUCGCGGCGGCUCCACCCAGGCCCGCGCCACAGGCUUCUGCGUGCACCGCGGCGGCCCUCCUACUCCUUGCGGCGUAGCCCUCACGGCUCCCGUGGCCG